rnacentral:SRP_RNA from 1 species
GCUGGGCAUGGUGGUGGGUGCCUGUAAUCCCAGCUCCUUGGGAGGCUGAGGCAGGAGAAUUGCUUGAACCCAGGAGGCGGAGGUUGCAGUGAGCUGAGAUUGUGCCACUGCAUUCCAGCCUGGGCGACAGAGCGAGACUCUGUCUCAA